rnacentral:rRNA from 1 species
AUUGAACGCUGGCGGCAUGCCUUACACAUGCAAGUCGAACGGUGACGGGCCUUCGGGUGCCGACGAGUGGCGCACGGGUGAGUAAUACAUCGGAACGUGCCCGAUCGUGGGGGAUAACGAGGCGAAAGCUUUGCUAAUACCGCAUACGAUCUACGGAUGAAAGCAGGGGACCGCAAGGCCUUGCGCGGACGGAGCGGCCGAUGGCAGAUUGGGUAGUUGGUGGGAUAAAAGCUUACCAAGCCGACGAUCUGUAGCUGGUCUGAGAGGAUGAUCAGCCACACUGGGACUGAGACACGGCCCAGACUCCUACGGGAGGCAGCAGUGGGGAAUUUUGGACAAUGGGCGCAAGCCUGAUCCAGCCAUGCCGCGUGCAGGAUGAAGGCCUUCGGGUUGUAAACUGCUUUUGUACGGAACGAAAAGCCUUCUUUUAAUACAGGAGGGUCAUGACGGUACCGUAAGAAUAAGCACCGGCUAACUACGUG